rnacentral:rRNA from 1 species
CAGCCGCCGCGGUAAUACCGGCGGCCCGAGUGGCGGCCACUAUUAUUGGGCUUAAAGCGUCCGUAGCCGGGUUGGUUAGUCUCCCGGGAAAUCUGGCCGCUUAACGGUCAGAAUUCCGGGAGAUACUGCCAGCCUAGGGACCGGGAGAGGCCGAGGGUCUUCCCGGCGUAGGGGUGAAAUCCUAUAAUCCCGGGAGGACCACCUGGGGCGAAGGCGCUCGGCUGGAACGGGUCCGACGGGGAGGGACGAAGGCCAGGGGAGCAAACCGGAUUAGAUACCCGGGUAGUCCUGGCUGUAAACGAUGCGGACUUUGUGUCGGACAAGCUAUGAGCUUGUCCGGUGCCGGAGGGAAACCGUUAAGUCCGCCGCCUGGGGAGUACGGCCGCAAGGCUGAAACUUAAAGGAAUUGGCGGG